CUCUCCCUCUCUCUCUCUCUCUCUCUCUCUCUCUCUCUCUCUCUCUCUCUCCCUCCCUCCCUCCGUCUCCCCAAUAACUAGACCUGAUCAAAAGCUAAAUAUGACAUCACUAUACUUUAUCAAUGAACAGAACAGAUCAAUAACUAAACUUGACAUCACCAGACCUGAUCAACAGCUGGACCUGAUCAAUAAUUGAACAUGACAACACUAGACCUGAUCAAUAGCUGGACCUGAUCAAUCGCUGGACCUGAUCAUUAGCUAGACCUGUUAAAUAGCUGGACCUGAUCAAUAAUUGAAUAUGACAUCACUACACCUGAUCAAUAGCUGGACCUGAGAGAGAGAGAGAGAGAGAGAGAGAGAGAGAGAGAGAGAGAGAGAGAGAGAGAGAGAGAGAGAGAGAGAGAGAGAGAGAGAGAGAGAGAGAGAGAGAGAGAGAGAGAGAGAGAGGUGUCAGAAAGAGAUAGAACCCCAAAGGGAUUAUGAAGAGAGUGAUAGAGGGUGUGUGUGUGUUGGUGUUUGUGUGUGUGUGUUUGGAUUCAUACCUUUCGUUCACUAUAAUCCUAAAAUAACACACAGAACACAUCCACAAUGUCAUUGGUAGCGCUUGAAAACUGCAUUUAUUGAAAACAAAUGGUUAGCAUUCAAUCAAUGGUGGUAUUGAUCUUCUUCAUGUGAAGCCAGCUCUCUGAGGCAGAUGCUAUGCUAUUGAUCAGUGCUAGCUUGAAUUCCCAGUAAAGGAGUGUUGCUGACGUCCUGUUUCUGCAUUGAUGAGCCACGCAGCACAUGGAGGCUAGGCUACCAUGGAUAUGUUAGCAGCACGCUUACAAGCACUUGUUUCAGAGUAGAGGAAUGCUGGAGGACUGCACGUCAUUGAAACUACAGUGUACUACAGUUUACCACAGUAAACUACAGUGUACUACAGCGUACCGCAGUAAACUACAGUGUACAACAGUAAACGACAGUGUACCACAGUAAACUACAGUGUACUACAGUAAACUAUAGUGUACUACAGUAAACUACAGUGUACUUUAGCUAACUACAGUGUACUACAGUAAACUACAGAGUACCUACCAGAGGCGGACAGAGUACAAGUAAAAUUACUACAGUCAGAUGUCUACUUAAGUAAAAUUACUGAAGUACUUGUUUUUAAAAGUACUUGAGUAUGAAGAGUACAAGAGUACAUUUUCUAAAUAUUGCGUAACUAAUAUUGCCACAGUGCUUACAUUUAUGUAUAGAAACGUCCUACAUGGAGUUAUGAAAAAUGUUAAUACCUUGGAGAAUGUAAAAGGAAUUGAAAGUAAAAUCAAGUCAUUUUCAUCUUUUUACCAUGUUGCUUUAUUUAACAUUUCUCACUUGCCCACAAGGCAAUAGCACAAUAGUAUACAGUAUAACAGUAUACUCAAGAACAUAAAAACAAUUGCUCAGCUUACUUAAAUAUGUAAUAUCAGAAAAGAAAAUUCAGCUAACAAUUGUAUGUAUGUGUGAGUUUCUCUGUUUUUUCAUCAAUCAAGUCAACAAUCGUCUCAUCUAAAUCUGACCAUGGAGUAGACUUUGGCGGAAAGCGAAGGUGAUUGCUGAUAGGCUGAAGGCUGUCCUAAUCAGUGGCGCCUGCACUAUCCAAUCACGCUUGAGAGGGAAACAACAAAUGUAGGGUUUCCGAGAUUUUUCUUUUCUCCUUUUAUUUUUUAAUUUUUAGAAGAAGUAACAGGUACUCACGGUUAUGGAUAGAAAUGUAGCGGAGUAAAGAGUACAAUAUUUGCCUCUCAAAUUUACUUGAGCAAAGUCAUGAGUGCUCCCCAAAAAUUAUACUCGAGUAAAGUACAGAUCCCUCAAAAUUGUACUUAAGUACUGUACUCAAAUCAAUUUGCUCCGUUACUGUCCGGCUCUGGUACCUAUAUUAAACUACAGUGUACUACAGUAAACUACAGUGUACUCCAGUGAACUACAGUGUACUACAGUGUUCUGGAGGUGAACUACAGUGUACCAGGUGAACUACAGUGUACCAGGUGGAGGUAUGGUGAACUACAGUGUACCAGGUGAACUACAGUGUACCAGGUGGAGGUAUGGUGAACUACAGUGUACGAGGUGAACUACAGUGUACCAGGUGGAGGUGUGGUGAACUACAGUGUAUCAGGUGAACUACAGUGUACCAGGUGGAGGUGUGGUGAACUACAGUGUAUCAGGUGGAGGUGUGGUGAACUACAGUGUACCAGGUGAACUACAGUGUACCAGGUGAACUACAGUGUACCAGGUGGAGGUGUGGUGAACUACAGUGUACCAGGUGGAGGUGUGGUGAACUACAGUGUACCAGGUGGAGGUGUGGUGAACUACAGUGUACCAGGUGAACUACAGUGUACCAGGUGGAGGUGUGGUGAACUACAGUGUACCAGGUGAACUGCAGUGUACCAGGUGGAGGUGUGGUGAACUACAGUGUACCAGGUGAACUGCAGUGUACCAGGUGUAGUUGUGGUGUAAUGUUGUGUUCUUGGGGAUGUUGUGUCGCUAGCAGCAGCUGAUCUGAGGACUACUGGGGGAGCACCCCCCGCUAUCUGGUGGUGGAGGCUGGGAGUCACACACACACACACACACGCACACACGCACGCACGCGCACACACGCACACACACACACACACACACACACACACACAAUCUAACUCAUAACACACGCACGCACACACACACACACACAAUAACUCAUCACACACACAUACACCCACACACACACAUACAUACAUGCUCACAUACAGAGUUUGGUAACUCCUUCAUAUAACGUGUUCUUAUGUAUACAUUUAUAUACAUUACGUAUAAAUUGAUAUACAUUUAUUGUGUAUAAAUAUUCUAUUCUAUUUAUUAGAUAUACAUUUUUUAGAUACACAUAUGUAUUAAAUAUAGAUAUUGAUUUAUCUCUCAUCUCAUCUUCAUCCGCAUCCGCUUAUCCGGGGUCGGGUCGCGAGGGGAGCAGCUCAAGCAGGGGCCCCAGACUUCCCUUUAUCUAUACUUAUUAGGAAGAAAUACUCAUAUAUUUGUAUUACAUGUACAUAUUUAUUAUCAUUAUCAUUUACUAUGUUAAUGACCUGUAUGUAUUUCUUCUCCGUUCAUAUCUCUCCUCCUAUUGGUUCUCGGGCCCUGCGAGGCAACGCCGAGUGCCUCGCGCGCUCCGCGGCCAAAGAUGUGCUGCCCUUUAAUGGCAUUUAGACGUGUGUUGCUUAGUGCUCUUCCUCCGCACACAAACACACACACGUGAUCGCGCGCGCACACACACACACUCAAACACACACACACACGCACACACACAGAUACACACGCACAGGCACGCACACCACCGCACACACACACCACCGCACACACACACACACGCUCACACACAUAGGCACACGCACACACAGGCACAUUAGGACACACACGGGCGAUGGUGCACUUCAAUACGCACGCGCACGCAAACAAGCUUCUUCACGUGUCUAUUCCGCCAAUUCUCCGCAGUGCUGAGAGAGAGAGAGAGAGAGAGAGAGAGAGAGAGAGAGAGAGAGAGAGAGAGAGAGAGAGAGAGAGAGAGAGAGAGAGAGAGAGAGAGAGAGAGAGAGAGAGAGAGAGAGAGAGAGAGAGAGAGAGAGAGAGAGAGAGAGAGAGAGAGAGAGAGAGCACAGAGAGAGAGCACAGAGAGAGAGCACAGAGAGCGAGAGAGAACUCGCCUGGGCUUUCCAGAGCGCGUGGAUCCUCCGUGGCUCGCGGCAGGGUGAGUAGCCUACAGAUUCCCGCCUUGACGUUACCGCGGGAAACUGCGUCGUGGCUUCUGACCGUGUCCUCCGCCAGUCAUCGUGACGUUAAAUGGGUUUACCGUUAGUCUCGGACCUCUUCGUGACGGUCAGGGUUUGACGUCUCGCGGGACGCGAAACAUUUUCUCAACAGUUCGUC
ensembl:lncRNA